GAUGAACGCUGGCGGCGUGCCUAAUACAUGCAAGUCGAGCGAACGGACGAGAAGCUUGCUCCUCUGAUGUUAGCGGCGGACGGGAGAGUAACACGUGGAUAACCUACCUAUAAGACUGGGAUAACUUCGGGAAACCGGAGCUAAAACCGGAUAAUAUUUUGAACAGCAUGGUUCAAAAGUGAAAGAAGGUAUUGCUGUCACUUAUAGAUGGAUCCGCGCUGCAUUAGCUAGUUGGUAAGGUAACGGCUUACCAAGGCAACGAUGCAUAGCCGACCUGAGAGGGUGAUCGGCCACACUGGAACUGAGACACGGUCCAGACUCCUACGGGAGGCAGCAGUAGGGAAUCUUCCGCAAUGGGCGAAAGCCUGACGGAGCAACGCCGCGUGAGUGAUGAAGGUCUUCGGAUCGUAAAACUCUGUUAUUAGGAAAGAACAUAUGUGUAAGUAACCGUGCACAUCUUGACGGUACCUAAUCAGAAAGCCACGGCUAACUACGUG
rnacentral:rRNA from 1 species